UAUUUUAUGCAACACUGAUCACUAAAUACAUGAUUUAUAGUGCAGAAUGAUUUGAUGUAUUGUUCCGGAAUUUACUAGAAGAAGAUCAAGCAUGAUUCAUGCUGUAUUGAGUUCUUUGAAUCAAAAAUUAGUUAAUAAAUCAGCCAAACUUUACUGAAAUAUAGUUUUAAACAUUUAAACACUUAAAUAGGCAAUUAUUUAAAGAUUUCAAACAAAAUGAUGUUAUAAGAUCUUCUCCAAAUAUGGAAAGAUCCUGCUUGUAUUUGAAAUGAAAAGAACAUGAUCUAGAAAUAAAAUUAAAAUACAAAGUUGCCUAAUGUUUGUAAAAUACACCAGAAGUUUUAUUUUUUUCAAAAAAUGUUCGUUUUUUUUUUUCUCCUCAAAGUCAUCUUGGGUAACUUGAACAUAAAGAAUGAAAUGUAAAUCCUGUGGGGAACAAAGGCACAAUAUUUCUUCACUUCCUUCUCUGGGAUUUAUACCGAAUCAUUUUGGUUAGUUCAUCAGUACAAAUCAAAAGUAUUUUUAAGUCCUGACACCAUUCACCAACUAUUAAACUCCAUAUUACUUUACCCUGCAAUGUCUGUAGCUCUGUUUUUAUUUCUGAUUUUGCUAAAUUCAUGUCAUUUGGUUUGUGUUUACUACUUUCAUCCACUAGAUGUCCUCAGAUACUUCUAUUUUGGCUUAAAACUUAUUUCAGAUUUCAUUUAGAUCCACUUACACUGCUGAAUUUUCAAAAUCUGUUUAGUAGAUAAUUUUAUCUCGUUAACUAUUUUUCCUACAAUUCUGAAAUGAAAAAAAAAAACAUUUUUUAAAUCAAAUUACCAGUACUAUACUAACUCUAUGAAUCAUCUGCUACAGUCUACACCAACUCCUUUUAUUGGAAUCCACCUUCAAAGUAAAAAACUAGAAUUUUGAUUGAUUGCACAUGAGAAGAACCUGGUUCCUGUAAGUGGAAACACUUUGCAUCAGCAGCUCCAUGCUCCAGUGCUCUGGGAGACUUUAUAGUCCUGAGAGUUGAAGACUGGAUGACUGACAGCUGUCCUUCAUCACAGCAGAAGACACAGAAAUCCUCCUCCUCCUCCUCAUCACUAAAAGCAUGACUUUGAUCUGCGUCCUCAUCUGGACUCUCCUCUGCUUCAUUCAGGGUUCUGUUGGACAAAAUGUUGUUGUGACUCAGCCAGCAGCUAAAUCAGUGCAGCUCGGUCAGACCGUCUCUAUUGACUGUAAAGUCAGUCAAGAAGUAGGUUGGGAUGGUUCACGUAAUAAUAAACGAUACUAUCUUACCUGGUACCAUCGGAAAUCUGGAGAAGCUCCUAAAGCUCUGAUCAAAUUUACAUCAGAGAGAUUUUCAGGAAUCUCCUCCAGAUUCAGUGGAAGUGGAACAGGAAAUGGAAUUGACUUCACUCUGACCAUCAGUGGAGUCCAGGCUGAAGAUUCAGGAGUUUAUUACUGUCAGAGUAUACAUGGUGGUCCUGUAAUCACACAGUGAAAAGUCGUCGUACAAAAACCUCCUUCAUCAGAAUGAACUGAAACUCAUUUGAAUGUUUCUGCCUCAAGUUCUUCCAGAAACUGAAACUCUGAUUUACUGUAGAAACACUAAACAGAUGAAGAAAAACACAAUUCAAAGAAUUUUGGUGUUGAUGA